rnacentral:lncRNA from 1 species
UGUUCCCGUCUGAGUACCAGCUCCCCACUGCCCUGAGGGCGGGCCGGCCUGCGGCGGAGGGAAAAAGGAAGAGGAGAAGGAAAUUGUCCCGAAUCCCUGCAGGUCAGUACCUGGAAGAUUCCAUAAAGUCGGGGUGCUUGAGGGCGUAGGGCCGAGACCGUCGCGGGUACUGAGGCGCCUCCGUCGUCUCUCCCACUCGCCGCCCGCUUUCCAAGACAUAUGUCCCGCUUGCAGCCCAUUUCGAUGCUGCGAAACGGUGAGCUGCGGGGUGUUUGGGGAAGAGCUCAGAGACUGGGAAAUGGGAAUCUGCUGGGAGCCUAGGGCCGCAAUCCGGAAAGGGAGCUGUGGCCUGGGUGUUGGCCCCUAGUCCACCAGGACAGUGCCGGAGGGGAAUGGCUGGAUAUGGGGGCGGGGGUGGUGAGAUGCAACGCGAUAUGUCAGCAGAACCCCAAGAGAGGUAAUAGGGGUGGGAAACCUCUGACAACCAGGCCUCCGAAUUAGAAAAGAGUUUUGUGUUCUGGGGACUAGUCCGUCCACCAAGCGCUCAGUGGCGGCAGUUUCCCGUCUUUCUGCCUGUGGCUGUGUCUUACUGACCAUGGCUCUGUGUCUAGUGGGUCCAAGCCUCUCCCGGGUGGCCAGUCUUUCUGUAGGUUGCGGCACAACGCCAGGCAAAAGAAGAGGAAGGAAUUUAAUCCUAAUCGGUGGAGGUCGAUUUGAGGGUCUGCUGUAGCAGGUGGCUCCGCUUGAAGCGAGGGAGGAAGUUUCCUCCGAUCAGUAGAGAUUGGAAAGAUUGUUGGGAGUGGCACACCACUAGGGAAAAGAAGAAGGGGCGA